GCGUGUAACAAUUGUUUGAGAGGUUUAGCGCUAUUAAACCAGGUUUAAUCCACCAUUUUCUACAUUUAGAAAUUACUGUACCAAGUCAGGAAUAUGACAGUUGUUGUCCAUUCGUUUUUUAUGUGUUUUGUCAUUUGAUUUUGCCCUGUGAUAAGGGACUUUCCGAUUUGAUUUUCCUCGGAGUUCAGUAUUUUUGUGAUUUAACUUUUUUUCUUCUUCAGCGUAUAAUUACUUAAUAAAACAAUUCAAACGUCCCAAUAUUGUUAUGGUGUAUGACAAAUUAAAUUUUGAGAGCUUUAUAUAUAUAUAUACUUAGAU
rnacentral:lncRNA from 1 species